CCUACGGGAGGCUGCAGCAAGGAAUUUUCCACAAUGGGCGCAAGCCUGAUGGAGCAACGCCGCGUGGGGGAUGACGCAUUUCGGUGUGUAAACCCCUUUUCGAGGGGACGAAGGCAAUGACGGUACCCUCGGAAUAAGGAUCGGCUAACUACGUGCCAGCAGCCGCGGUAAGACGUAGGAUCCGAGCGUUGUCCGGAGUUACUGGGCGUAAAGCGCGCGCAGGCGGAUACGCGCAUCGGCGGUGAAAGCCCCCCGCUCAACGGGGGAGGGUCCGU
rnacentral:rRNA from 1 species